GUAGGUGGCAAGCGUUGUCCGGAAUUAUUGGGCGUAAGGCGCGCGCAGGCGGUCCUUUAAGUCUGAUGUGAAAGCCCACGGCUCAACCGUGGAGGGUCAUUGGAAACUGGGGGACUUGAGUACAGAAGAGGAAAGCGGAAUUCCACGUGUAGCGGUGAAAUGCGUAGAGAUGUGGAGGAACACCAGUGGCGAAGGCGGCUUUCUGGUCUGUAACUGACGCUGAGGCGCGAAAGCGUGGGGAGCAAACAGGGAUUAGAUACCCUGGUAGUCCACGCCGUAAACGAUGAGUGCUAAGUGUUAGGGGGUUUCCCGCCCCCUUAGUGCUGCAGCUAACGCAUUAAGCACUCCGCCUGGGGAUACGGCCGCAAGGCUG
rnacentral:rRNA from 1 species